GACGCUCCCCUAACGAAAGCACCAUGGUUGAUCGAGCUGUCAUUUUGUUUUCAAAUUUUGUUUUCAUCCGCGCGCGUGUUCGAUCUUGUUCGUUUCGUUUGUGUUUGGCGUAGUUCAAAUCGAAAAUUGUUAAGUCGACUCGCGUGUGCUCGUGGAGAAACAACAUCCGGCGUUCGUGCAGCAUGGUUCUGUUGGACUAAUCCGCCGGGUGACCGAACCGGAACGGCGGGAUGAGAGAAUUUUCGGAUAUUUGAGGAUUCUCCCACCAGGUUCGCUGACGGGACACAACCCAACGAAAGCGUUCGAAUGGGAGAGGACCCGACGCCUGCUGCGGAAACUUCCGGCCGUGUUUGUUUCUGAUGGUGAGCUCGUCUCGGCUGGAGGCGAAAAUCGUUAGGGGCUUAUUUCACUAAGGAUUGUGCUUUUUGAUUACUCGAAUGUUUAUCCCAAUUACGAAGCAGUUGAUCCGGAACCGGCUACGAACAUUCCGAAUAAUUUCAAACAGUGCGGAUUGAAGCGGAAUAACAAAAGAAAACGACACGGAAAGUUAGUGCUAAAUAAAGUAAAACAAAAAUAAAAAAACGAUAAAAAUACACUCAAACUUACUGAAUUACCAUUAAUUUCAAUGUAUAAAUAUUUGUUUUAUAGUACAAUUUAGUGGGGAUUCAAAAAUAAAUAAUAUGAAAAAAACCAUAAAACCUUCUGUAGUUAUUAUUUAUUUCAAUGUAAAAGUAUAGUCAAAACAGUACUCUUUAUCAGGGAACUUAUCAUAAAGAACUAUAAAUUAACUGUGGAAUCCUCUGUAAUGCUUGCUGUUUUUAUUAUAAAUACAUGAUUAUUUUUACGGUCUGGUAAAUUUUUUGGAUGAAAAAUGCAACAUUAGAUUAACAGUAAAAUGCGUCGUAUUUGGAAAAAAAAUGUAUGGAAAAACUUCGAAAUUUUUAUGGUACCGGUGCAUAACAACCCCCCUUUUUUAUGGUAAAAUUCCAAAAUACGACGCAAA